AUUGAACGCUGGCGGCGUGCUUAACAUGUGCAAGUCGAUCGGUAACGCGGGGGCAACUCUGGCGACGCGAGGCGGACGGGUGAGUAACGCUUGGGCAUCUGUCUAUCAGCGGGGGACAACACGGGGAAACUCGUGCUAAUACCGAAUACGCCCUAUGGAGGAAAGACGGGGACCGCCAGGCCUGGCACCGAGAGAUUAGCACAACUCGGAUUAGCUAGUGUGCGCGGUAACGGCCCACAAAGGCGACGAUCCGACGCGGGUCUGAGCGGACGAUCAGCCACACUGGAACGAAGACACGGCCCAGACUCCUACGGGAGGCAGCAGUGGGGAAUAUUGGACAAUGGGGGAAACCCUGAUCCAGCGACGCCGCGUGGGUUAAGAAGGCCUGCGGGUUGUAAAGCCCUUGCGGUAGAGACGAAAGCUCUCGACCUAACACGUCGGGAGGUUGACUUAACCUACAAAAGAAGCACCGGCUAACUCUGUGCCAGCCGCCGCGGUAAGAC
rnacentral:rRNA from 1 species